rnacentral:rRNA from 1 species
CCAAUAGCGUAUAUUAAAGUUGUUGUAGUUAAAAAGCUCGUAGUUGAACCUCGGGAUCAAUGGAUCGGUCAUGCCAUCGGUAUGUACUGGUCUCAUUGGUUCUCACCUUCUAAGGAACCAUGAUGUCAUUCAGUUGAUGUUGUGGGGAAUUAGGACUGUUACCUUGAAAAAAUUAGAGUGUUUAAAGCAGGCAAACGCUUGAAUACAUUAGCAUGGAAUAAUGAAAUAGGACAUCGCAUUCUAUUUUUUUGGUUUCUAGGAUCUAUGUAAUGAUUAAUAGGGAUAAUUGGGGGCAUUAGUAUUCAAGUUUCAGAGGUGAAAUUCUUGGAUUUAUUGAAGACUAACUACUGCGAAAGCAGUUGCCAAGGAUGUUUUCAUUAAUCAAGAACGAAAGUUAGGGGAUCGAAGACGAUCAGAUACCGUCGUAGUCUUAACCAUAAACUAUGCCGACUAGGGAUCGGAUGAUGUUGAUUUUUUAAUGACUCAUUCGGCACCUUACG